rnacentral:rRNA from 1 species
AAAAGAAGAUCAAGAAGAGCUUCAGAAUGAAGCUUUCUUGAUGGAGGGGAGCGGCAGACGGGUGAGUAACGCGUGGGAACGUACCCUUUACUACGGAACAACUCCGGGAAACUGGAGCUAAUACCGUAUGUGCCCUUUGGGGGAAAGAUUUAUCGGUAAAGGAUCGGCCCGCGUUGGAUUAGCUAGUUGGUGGGGUAAAGGCCUAGCAAGGCGACGAUCCAUAGCUUGUAUGAGAGGAUGAACAUCCACAUUGGGACUGAGACACGGCCCAAACUCCUACGGGAGGCAGCAGUGAGGAAUAUUGGACAAUGGGCGCAAGCCUGAUCCAGCCAUGCCGCGUGAGUGAUGAAGGCCCUAGGGUUGUAAAGCUCUUUCACCGGGGAAGAUAAUGACGGUACCCGGAGAAGAAGCCCCGGCUAACUUCGUGCCAGCCGCCGCCGUAA